GACGAACGCUGGCGGCGUGCUUAACACAUGCAAGUCGAACGGUGUCUUCGGACAUAGUGGCGCACGGGUGCGUAACACGUAUGCGACCUACCUUACAUUGGGGGAUAGCCUUUCGAAAGGGAGAUUAAUACCGCAUAAGACAGGAGCGGGGCAUCCAGCAGCCGUUAAAGAUUUAUCGAUGUAAGCUGGGCAUGCGUCCAAUUAGCCAGUUGGUGAGGUAACGGCUCACCAAGGCAAUGAUUGGUGGGGGAACUGAGAGGUCAAUCCCCCACACUGGCACUGAGAUACGGGCCAGACUCCUACGGGAGGCAGCAGUAGGGAAUAUUGGGCAAUGGGCGCAAGCCUGACCCAGCCAUGCCGCGUGCAGGAAGAAGGCGUUAUGCGUUGUAAACUGCUUUUAUACAGGAAGAAACGACCCUUGCGAGGGGCAUUGACGGUACUGUAUGAAUAAGCACCGGCUAACUCCGUGCCAGCAGCCGCCGUAA
rnacentral:rRNA from 1 species